UUUCCUGUGGCUCAGUUGGUAGAGCAUUGCGCUAGUGACACAAAGAUCAUGGGUUCAAAUCCUAAGGAAAG